UACGUAGGGACCGAGCGUUGUCCGGAAUCAUUGGGCGUAAAGAGCGUGUAGGCGGCUAUUUAAGUCCUGCGUGAAAUCCUGCGGCUCAACCGCAGACGGUCGUGGGAAACUGGAUGGCUAGAGUGCGGGAGAGGAGAGUGGAAUUCCCGGUGUAGCGGUGAAAUGCGCAGAUAUCGGGAAGAACACCCGUGGCGAAGGCGGCUCUCUGGAGCGCAACUGACGCUGAGACGCGAAAGCGUGGGGAGCAAACAGG
rnacentral:rRNA from 1 species